rnacentral:misc_RNA from 1 species
UUGCAGCCCGGCUUGAACGGAGCUCUUUUUGCGAGGAACGAGCAAAAAAGCGGGAGUGGAAGACGGAUAAAGC